GCACACCUGAGGGUACGAAAUUCCCUCCAAAACCCCUAAAGAACAACUAGAGAUAGCAAGGUCAAAGUACAGAUUGCGCAAAAGGUAAAAUAUAUACUAAAACCACGACAGAUAAAUGAAAACAGUAAGAUAAAAAAAAACACUUAUAAAACAUAUAAUGGUCUUAAAAGGAUAAAAUAUGGUAUACCAGAUAUAUAAAUACAGUCCCAAAACUUGUGUUCCU